rnacentral:rRNA from 1 species
GACGAACGCUGGCGGCGUGCCUAAUACAUGCAAGUCGAGCGAACUUUUUCUGGUGCUUGCACUAGAAAAACUUAGCGGCGAACGGGUGAGUAACACGUAAAGAACCUGCCUCAUAGACUGGGACAACUAUUGGAAACGAUAGCUAAUACCGGAUAACAGUAUUUCUCGCAUGAGAGAUAUUUAAAAGUUGGUUAUGCUAACACUAUGAGAUGGCUUUGCGGUGCAUUAGCUAGUUGGUGGGGUAAAGGCCCACCAAGGCGACGAUGCAUAGCCGACCUGAGAGGGUGAUCGGCCACACUGGGACUGAGACACGGCCCAGACUCCUACGGGAGGCAGCAGUAGGGAAUCUUCCGCAAUGGGCGAAAGCCUGACGGAGCAACGCCGCGUGAGUGAAGAAGGAUUUCGGUUCGUAAAGCUCUGUUGUUAGGGAAGAAUGGAUAUGUAGUAACUAUACAUGU